CCCGCCUCCACUGUGCUCUCUCGUGCGCUCCCGAGAAGUGUAGCGUGUGCGGAACGCGACAGCCGAGCAGCAGAUAUCGGCCACUGAGCUUUGAUGAGCGGUGUUUAGGAAACUUGAUGAGCGCUUUUGGAGCUCCUUUCAGCGGCUGGUGAAGACGAGGGAGUGCUGCAGCGGUUCUCUUCUCCCACGGGUCGAAUCAAAAAAUGAAAUUCUGGAUUUGCGUGCUAGCGGUGGCCGUGGCAGUGCAGUCGACGCACGGAGUAAGUCCUGUUUCAUUGCUAUCGGCCAUUUGUUUAGUAGACCCUCCACUCAG